rnacentral:rRNA from 1 species
UGGGCAACCUGCCCCUCUCUCUGGGAUAACCCCGGGAAACCGGAGCUAAUACCGGAUACUCCGGCUGGAUAGCAUGGUCCGGCCGGGAAAGGUCCGCCGGAGAGGGAUGGGCCCGCGGCCUAUCAGCUUGUUGGUGGGGUCAUGGCUCACCAAGGCGACGACGGGUAGCUGGUCUGAGAGGACGACCAGCCACACUGGAACUGAGACACGGCCCAGACUCCGUACGGGAGCA